AUACGGAGGGUGCAAACGUUGUUCGGAAUUACUGGGCGUAAAGCGCGCGUAGGCGGUUUGUUAAGUCAGAUGUGAAAGUCCACAGCUCAACUGUGGAAGUGCAUUUGAAACUGGCAGACUUGAGUACUCAGGGGGUGGUGGAAUUCCCGGUGUAGAGGUGAAAUUCGUAGAUAUCGGGAGGAAUACCGGUGGCGAAGGCGACCACCUGGCCAGAUACUGACGCUGAGGUGCGAAAGCGUGGGGAGCAAACAGAAUUAGAAACCCUUGUAGUCC
rnacentral:rRNA from 1 species